CCGCAGGGCGCGCGCGCCCCCUCCCCAGCCCGCCCGCGGUCCCGCGCGCCUCGCCUGGCACCGCCUCCCGGGCCUCCCCGGACUCACCCUCCCGGGCCCCGAGCCCCACCCCUGCACCCCCCUCCUCACAGUGCCCUGGGACUGCGCCUCCCUACCGGCCGGCGCCACCUCUCUCCACGCCCCCGUCCGCAGCGCCGGGAAGCUAGGGAAGCGGGGCCGAGGACGAGGACGAGGGCCGAGCGCCAGCGGGGGGGGGGGGGCGGGCUGCAGGGCGUGUUCCUGUGGGGCUGCGGGGUGCGCAGGAUGCGCGGUUUUCGGUGUGAGGGAAACGAGGUUCGAAGCCGGAGCCAGUGCAGGAUCCGCCUCUCUUCUGCACUCUGACGCUGAGACACACACAGCGCCUCCCUGAGCCGCGGUGCUACGCGGGACAGGAAGGGUCCCGUGGUCAGGACCCCAGAAGCUCCACAUCGCGGGCCAGUGGGGUUUCCAGCCUCCCUGUCCUUAUGUUCGCCCACCUCCCUCUGCCUGGGCCUUUACGCAGGCCCCUUACUCCUGGGAUUGUCCCCACUCCACUCCGGGGCCUUACCUGGCACCACCACCACCCCCUUAGCUUCAUCCCACUAUAGCUUCCGUUUUGUCAGCGCCAGUUGUCUUCUGUCACCGUGCUAAGGGCUUUACAGGACUUUCUAUUUCACUCCUUGCAACAAAUCCCAAGGUAGCCUGUUAUCCCCCAGGGCUUUCCAUUGAAGGAGCUGCAGACCCAGGCUCUGCACACCGCCUUCCUGCUCCCCAGUCCCUAGCAGAUGCCCCCACCCCAUAAUGCGGCUUUCCCUGUUGUCCAAUUGUGUCUCCCCAAGACUGGAAUUUGGGAGAAGGGCUGUCCUUAGUCGCCCCCUCUGGCACUCGGCUCACCCGGCUCAGGGAAUGGGAGUAGUGGGCAAAUGCAUCUCCAGGACACCUGCACAGGAAGCCCUUCCCGAGCCGCAGGGCCAGGAGUCAGCCCACAGGAGGGGCCCACCUAGUGGGCGGGAGAGGCCCUGGGAGAUGCGAGCUCUUCAGGGAGUCCUUCAGCAGCGGCUACCCCGCUGAGCCAGGACCGUUCAUCCUGAGCACGGGAACACCCACUGGAGGAGCGGACGCUGAGCUCUGGAUGUAUUGGCCCCCAGCCAAGCUGAGGAGAGGCCUGCGCUUGCAAAUGCUGUUGGCUACUCAGCAAGACCCAGCUUUGUCGGAAGCCCAUCUUUCCCAAGUAGCUCAGCUCACAGGCACAAUGGCCUCCAGCAGCCUAGAGCCCAGCAUGGUGCCCCCAGGCCCAUGUGGCAUACCAGCAGUUCAGUCUCCCCCUCACAAUCCUCAAGAUGACCGCCCUGAUCUGACUCUGCCAUCUCGCCCUCCUGGGGGUCCUAGGGGUAGCUGUGCACUUCCAGGUCCCCACUGCUGUGUCUUCCCUCCCAACUCCAGCCCUAUAUCCGCACUCAGGGGGGACAUGGGCCCCACUGUGUGGUGUUAGGGACCCGGGGUGGUCCCAGUGAGGCUGGGGGCCUGGCUCCCACAGAGGGGUCCUGCUCCCGUGAGCAGGAGCAGCCUCCACACCCGGGGGCAAGCAGGUGGCAGUGGUGCCCAUGCCCUUUGUGCCUCCUGGCCGAGCUGGGGCCUGACCAAACUGCCUGGGGGAGGGACCAGGCGGGACCCAGGGGCCAGGCAGCCACCUCCACAGGGACUUCCUAGCCCUGCUGUGCCAAGAGGUGGCCGCCCCACGUGGAGGGUGCUGCUGCCACUUACAGGUCUCCCAGCCUCGCCCUGGGGGCCGGGCGGGGAAGGAGGCCAGGGAGCCAGCAUUAGAGUCGCCGGCGAAUCCGAUCGAGAGCCUCAGCCAGCAGCAACACCGUGUGUCCCCCAGUCCUUCACCCAAGAGCAAGCCUUUCCUUCUCCAGCCCCGGUGCGCCGGGCACUCGCGGGCCUCUCAGCGCUCGCUGUCUCAGUCUUGCCCUGCAGGGCCUCCCAGGCCCAGACCCCGGACAGAGCAGAAGGCCUUCGCUCAGCCUCACCUCCCGAGGCCCUGGGGCUGGCUCCCCAGGCCCCUCCUCAGCUGCCGUCACUGGGCUGGACUGCCCUUCCUCCAGAGCCCGGACCCCGGGCCUCCGCCUGCGCCGUCCUCAGUCUCACCAGGACCGAAGCCUGCAUUCCCGCUGCCCUGAUGCUUGUGUGCCUUUUUCUUUGAUGUUUUGUCAAAUCUGGGCUUCCCACAUCCGUCUUUUUCCCUCCUGGUGUUCAUGAGCGGAUUCCUGCACGAGCCUCAAAGCCUCCAGCUCUGCUGGUUGGGAAGAGACAAAGCCUGUCCACACCAGGAGGAAACGUCCUCUCUUCUCUGACAGCUGCAGAAAAACAUAUGCAGUUUUCUGUCACCAAACUGUCCACACAGGGCUCAAAGCACACCUGAUACCCAAGUUCACGCACACUGUUUCCCACUGCUAAAACAGAGCAGCCCAAGUGUGCAGAGUGGGCUGACGGAGUCCCCAAGCUGUGAUUUAGCUGUGUUGUGGAGUAUUGCUCAGCCUUGAGGAGGAGUGGGAGUCUGACCCACAGCACAGAGCAGAUGGCCUUGAGGACACUGUGCUCAGCAAAAUAACCCAGGCACAGAGCACAGGUGCUGCAUGCCUCAUGCACCAGGUGCUGCCACAAUCAGCUGUACAGAGGAGCUGGUGGUGCCCAGGCUGGGGCUGGAUUUCAGGGUGGAAAGCUCUGGCAGUGACAGACACACAACAAAGUGAAUAUUCUUCCUGCAGCUGAAUCGUACCUAAGAAUGGUUAGAAUGGUAAAUUUUAUGUUGUGUUCUUUACCACAAUAAAAAUAUUUUAAGAAACGAGGGGCUCCUUAGUUCCUGAGCACAGCGGGGUAGGGAUGGAGCCCCCCACCCCCACCCUGCCCCAGACAGAGAUCAGCCCCAUGGCCACAC
ensembl:lncRNA